rnacentral:lncRNA from 1 species
GUUUUAUUGGAAACAUGGCACCAAUAGACUGGCUCAACGCAGAGUUGCCAUAAACCUUCCAUUUGUAAAAAAUGCAUUAUCUGCAAAGUGCAAUAAAGCAAAACGCAAUAAAAUGACAUACGCCUGUAUCUGUAUCGAUAGGAGGAACAUUGCCAUUUUCUUCUACAUGACAUAAAAUUGUACUAAAAGGCACUAGUAUGUGCCUUUCUGGGUGGCAGGCCUCCAAUCUCAUGAUGUUUUAACAAAGCAAAGUAGAUAUACUUACAGAUUCAAAUUUUGACUACUGAAUAACUCAUUUCAAAAAGAAAAUUCAGCUCAAUAAAAUUCAGUAUCUGUCUAAAACUAUUUGUCAGGGUAAUAAGUUCAUGGGAGGUCCAAAGACAAAGUAUGUAGUCCUAUUCUAUACUAAAGUAAACCUGGAUUGAGAUUUAUAAUAAAAAUCACAACACAACAGUAUUACUUGGUAAAGUCCUCAAAGUAGAUUUUAUUUAUACAUUUCUUCAAAUGAUUGUGGUAUUUUAAAAAAUCUCUCCCAAAUUUGACGACAUAGGGACAGUGGUGAGAACAAAGUAUCCCUAAAGGAAACAAAUAUCGAUUGGUGCUUUCCUAGCUCACUGAGCUAACACUCAGAAGCCAAUUUAUUCUAUAAUCCUAAAGAACCUUAAAUGUGGGUUUGUUUGAAUUGGCCUUCUGAGAAUCGUUGAAAUAAAGGAUAUAUUACGGAAAAGAGAUUAGUUUCCAAAAAUGUGCUGUCUUUGAAAAUAAGUCUUCAGACAUGUGUGUCGGAAAAGAUCUGCAAAGCUUGGUACAGUGUUAAUGUGUAAAGAGAACCAAUCACCUCCAUGGACUUUAAAACUCAAAAUUAUCUAUGAAAUACUUUAAAUGACAUGGCAUUACCAACAUUCUUUAAAGCAUUUCAUUUAAAAGAAAACUGUAAGACUGUUCUCACCCUUUUGAAAAGACCUAAUCCCUUUCUAAAACAAAAGUAUAAUUUGCAAGAGAAACAACAUUACAAUUCACUGGUAAAUUAAGAUUUCUGAAGUUGUAAGAAAUGGGGCCAAAACAAGUCACGCUCAAAAAGGGAUGGUUAACACAAGAAAUGUGCUAUGAGUAAAGUGCAUGAAAGAAAGCCUGCUCAGCUAAAUGAAGUAGACAAAGGUCAGAAGUCAAGGGUCAUUCGCCAGAGCGGCAGCAGGCUCGAAAACCACACUGCAAAUUCUGGCAUCCACUGGCGGUAUCAGCAUGAGGACCUGUAUGAAAACAGAAAAAUGUGAAAGGAGGAAUUUCUUAGAGAUCACAUAAAAAUAAUUUUGCUUAUGAAGGAGUUAAACAUUCAUUGGUUUUACUAGCAGUACUUAUAUGAUAGAAGUAAAUCUCAUGAUGAGUGUAUAAGAAAUUAUUCAGACACAAAACUCAAUAGCAGCUUGACUUUAAUUAAUAUAUCCUUCAUGGUCCAAAAGGUAAGUGGAAGAAGGGAAAAAAAUAAUUUUUAGCAACAACUUACAAUAUAAAAAUCCAAAAUGGAAAUGAGACAAUCCACAGAAGCAAGAUUGCAAAGCUAACUUAUAAAAAGAUUCUUAUAAUCUGAACAUCCUCCCUAGAAACGUAAUAAAGGCAAAAAACAGCCCUAACUAUAAUCGAUCAGCUAAAGAAGUCAGUAUUGAGCAAUUACAAUAAAUAUGAUAUUCAAAUUUUAAAGCAAAAUAAACUAUAUAGACAUAGAUAUAUUUGCCAUAUUUUUAUUUAGUAUUUGUAGCCAAAAAUAUCUAUAUAUGGUAGGGUUAGAUGAAAUUAUUUUCCAAAAUUAAAUAUAUAAUGAGUGAUCAAUUAAACUGUAUCUAAGACAUAGUAAAAAUUAUCAUUCACUUACAAAGAAUAAAAAAAAAUUUGUGGAAUAACUGACAUUUUAUCCCAGUCACACUAUGCUACCCAGGCACUAGAUACAAGACCCAUUAGGGAACAUAGCUGAGAAUUAGAAAAUAUCAAAGAAGAAGUUUCAUAGCACAUAUUCAAAUGUCAAGUACUCUGAAUGAAUAUUUUCAUAAAAGCAGGCAAAUGUGGAAAAGACUGUUUCAACUAUAUUGAAGUCUUUCAUUAUGUUUAUACCAUGAACAAAUAAGGAGUAGUUAAUUUGUUCUUUACAUAUCAACAAGAACAACCAAAAUACUUGCAAUUGUGAUAUAAGGAACAAUACAAAAUGAAAACUGUACAUGAAAUAUAAUUUUACGGCAGAAUAUAUCAAAUGGAUUGUAACUGAAAAAUCACAGUACUCUGGGGUGAUAUCUAGCUUAACUCAAAAACACGUUUUAAAUUUACUUUUUAUUUUCUAAAACAGCACUCAGCUGAAAAAAAAAAAAAAAGCAACUAAGCUAAUACUACCAUAAUAAUUACUUCCAACUAAACACAUAGAACACAUUAAUUUCCAGAAAUUUAACUUUUCCUUAUAUUCCCCAAAUGGCACAUACAAAAUACAAAGGGCAAAUUUCUUAAGACAUACAGUCUUAGGAAAGAAACUAAUAAACAUUACGCAAAUAUGUGGAACUACAACAGCUUAUGCUUUCAGUCAUAUUAAAUUUUUAAGUUGAUAUGACACCUGUGAUUAGCUUAAUGGGGGAGUAGAUAUGGGAAUGAGCAAUGGUAUAGAUGAAAGGAGACUGCCCACAGGUUUAUAACUGCUGAAGCUGAUGGUACAUGAGGAUUCGUUGUAUUAUUCGAUGUUAAAUUUUUCCAUAACAGGAAGUUUAAAAUUAUUUUAAAUAUAAAGUUGAAUUACUAAAGCCAAUUUUUAUUUAAUCAAAAUAACAAUCUUUUCUGGUCUUUAAAUGAGAAGUUAAAUAUGUUAAAUAUUUAACAUUCACAAAGCAGCAUUUUGUUAAAAUUAUUUUCCCUUAAAAUAAGAUACAAUGUUAAUCAUCUUAAUGACAAACUCAAGAUAAAAUGUUUUAGUAUAUAUUGAAUACUUAUUAAAAAUGCCCUGAGAAGCAACCCUAUGAUCUGAAAUUCUUCUCCCACUGCCAAUCUUUAACCAAGUUUUUCCUUUGAAUAUAAUGCCAGCUUUACCCACUGUGUACCACCCAAUCCCCAUUAUUCCCCUUCUUAGCUUGUCUUUCCUCACCCCUUACACUGCCCACUGUUUUGUCUACCAAUCACCUAGCGCCUCUCCUCAAGACACAAGCCCUGCCUCACUGCCAUUCUCCUGCUCUGACCCUUAGGUCCAUCAUGAAAUGCCAGAUUCACUGGGUUUUGCCAAAAAUGGAUCUGAUUAUCAUUUUAUCAGAUUAAAAUUCCAUUCUAAAUUUUUUUAAAGAAAUAAGAAGAGACAUGAAGACUCUCAUACAAUUUUUCCAAACUGCAACUCCCUCAAAUACUUCAAAAUGUCUAUACCAUUAAGUCCUCACUUAACAUCGAUAGGUUCUUAGAAACUGCGACUCUAAGCAAAAUAACGUAUAACAAAGGUAGUUGUUUUGUUUGCAUCAUUAUAAUGAACUGACACUAUUUGAGGACUUCCUGUAUGUUUUCUUUAAAGUCAGUUUCCAAAAACAUACCACCGACACUGAGGACUUACUAUAGUCCUAUUUUUUUAAAAGGACAGAAAGGUAAGGGAGAAAUAUUAUGCUAAAUUUCAACAGUAGCCUAAGAAAAAUCAUAUGCCAUAUCUGGAAGCAAUGGAAGUGAAGUAUGCAAUUGGUUUUCAAAGGAUAAAGUAAAAGGGAGACUCAAAGGAGCCAACAGAUCAAAAAAGCUAUUCUCCUAGAGAUUCAGAUCUAACCUGACAUGACACAGUUUUUCACCACCCUCCCCAAAAGAUGUAGGGUCCACAUGCUCAGUUUCCACCCUAGCUACCUGGGUCAUUAUGCUCCUGAAGUCUAAGGGAUGGUGGCAGAGAUAAUGGGGGAAGAAAAAUGUAGAAAUAAAAGUUUUUACCCUGUAUUAGGUAAAAAGCACAAACCUACUGUCAGCAUCUCCUUAUUUAUCACAAAACAAAGUUCCUACCUAUAUUCAUAUAAAAUGUGCCUACUCAGUGAGUAGGCACAUUUUAUAUGAAUAUAGGCAAGAACUCUGAAUACAUUUUAAGUUCACCAGAAUUGAGUUUCAGUGAGAUUCUAAGUGUACAGAGUGAAGAAAGAGAAUUAAUAUAUUGUUUUCAAAUUUGAAAGCAGAAUCUGUUUAAAGAAACCUAUAUGAACUUAAUCAGUAACUAUAGUAUUAAAUGACUCAAAACUACAAUCCUAUGAUAAGGUAAAUAAUAGAGUAGUUACUGGUAUUUGAUCCCAAUAAUCAUGAAAGUGACAGCAUCCAUUAAAGGAUCUGCUGAAGGCCUGAGCCAAAACAAAAAUGAAGACAAGCACUGUUUUAAACUCAGUAUCACAUUGUAGAAAACAGGAGACUAGCACCUUCCAAAGCACGGAAAGUAUAAGCAACAUUAACAAUAAAAUCCUUAAGUAACACAGAAGGACUGUUCAGAGAAGUGAAUAAAUGGACAACAGAAUAAAUGGACAACAGAAAAGGUGAGGGAAAAUUAGAAAAAAAUAUGACUAAGAUAUGAUGGAUUGCCAGGUAGACAGCUAUGCUUUAAUAGACAAAGAUAAUUCACAAGGUAGUUCCCUUUAAAUAUUUGACUUAUCACCAGCAAACUUCCAUCUCGAUGUAGGACACAGAACCCAAAUGGUUAAGAUAUCUAAAGCCUAAAUUACAUUAAGGAAUAAUAAAGAAAAUAGAAAAAUAUAAUUGAAUAAUCAUUAAAAUAUUUAAAUGCAUGGUAAAGAAUAAUCUUAUAAGAAAGCAUUUUUAAGUAUCAGAUGAUAGGAAGUAUAAGGUUAGCUAUUAUUUCUCCAGACUUUUAUUACUGAAUAACUUGUUUUUACUGAGUUCUAAGUAUAUUACUUAUGCUGUAUAUCUGCACUUACCUUCACUUACCUUUAAUUCCUCUUUAACUUAAAUUAGAAACAUAAAAGAGCACAUCAUCAGAGACUGAGUCACCUCCAAAACUAUGAGCUAAUCUAUCUUAAUUUAUAAAUUAUACAUACAUUGAAAUGCAAAUCAGUAAAAAAGUUUAUUUGCUAUCAUUGCUCAAAUGUUCUUCACAGCUCUACAACUAUGCUAUUCCAUUUAACACUUCUUAAAUGUUAAAGAAUUUUUUUAAUGUUAUGGCUAAGAAGACUUUUCAAAUCUUAUCAAAUAAAUUUAAAAGUCAUAAAGAAUCAUUCAGAAGAAUCUAGACUUGCA